rnacentral:rRNA from 1 species
CCUACGGGCGGCUGCAGUGGGGAAUAUUGGGCAAUGGGCGCAAGCCUGACCCAGCAACGCCGCGUGAAGGAAGAAGGCUUUCGGGUUGUAAACUUCUUUUAUCAGGGACGAAGCAAGUGACGGUACCUGAUGAAUAAGCCACGGCUAACUACGUGCCAGCAGCCGCGGUAAUACGUAGGUGGCAAGCGUUAUCCGGAUUUACUGGGUGUAAAGGGCGUGUAGGCGGGAGUGCAAGUCAGAUGUGAAAACUAUGGGCUCAACCCAGAGCCUGCAUUUGAAACUGUUAUUCUUGAGUGUGGGAGAGGUAGGUGGAAUGCCGGGUGUAGCGGUAAAAUCCGUAGAGAUCAGGAGGAAUACGAGUGGCGAAGGCGGACUGCUAGAAAGUAACUGACGCUGAUGCGCGAAAGCGUGGGGAGCAAACAGGAUUAGAUACCCUGGUAGUC